UCCGGAUCGUAAAACUCUGUUGUUAGUGGAAGAACAAGUGCCAUAGUAACUGAUGGCGCCUUGACGGUACCUAACCAGAAAGCCACGGCUAACUACGUGCCAGCAGCCGCGGUAAUACGUAGGUGGCAAGCGUUGUCCGGAAUUAUUGGGCGUAAAGCGCUCGCAGGCGGUUCUUUAAGUCUGAUGUGAAAUCUUACGGCUCAACCGUAAACGUGCAUUGGAAACUGGGGAACUUGAGUGCAGAAGAGGAGAGUGGAAUUCCACGUGUAGCGGUGAAAUGCGUAGAGAUGUGGAGGAACACCAGUGGCGAAGGCGACUCUCUGGUC
rnacentral:rRNA from 1 species